rnacentral:lncRNA from 1 species
AUGCAUGAGAGGACCACACUUCAAGAUCACCACCACCAGACUCCCCUACUGAAAGUACCGCUCUGUUACUUUACCAUCCACACAUCAACAAUGCCUGGACUAGACCUACUGGCUUCCAAACUGAGUCUACGCAAGUUUCUUACUGUCUCCAAGCUAUGUGAUUCACCUGUAAGAAUGGGAAGUGUAAUAGCUUAUAGAUUUGCAACAAUGAUCGAACACGAUAAAUUAUAUUUGCACGCUGUCUAACCAAAAAACAUUGCCAGUCUUUUUAUGACCACUCAUACUUUUAGCCACAGAAGGUUUUGCCACCCAAAGAAACUCUAUGGAAGGCAGCAAUGGUAUGCUUCUGUUUAUAAUCAGCUCGUUGUGACUUUUAUGAUUCGAAUUUUUUAUUUUUUAAAAUAGUUUCAUUUAUUCUUGGCUGUGCUAGGUCUGCGUUGCUGCAUGGCUUUUCUCUAGCUGCAGCGAGCGGGGGCCGCUCUCUAGUUGCAGUUGGUGGGAUUCUCGUUGCAGUGGCUUCUCUUGUUGCAGAGCACGGCCUCUAGAGAGCACGGGCUUCCGUAGCCAUAACACAGGGGCUCAGCAGCUGUGGCUCCCGGGCUCUAGAGCACAGGCCCAAUAGCUGUGGCGCAGGGCUUAGCUGCUCCGAGGCAUGUGGGAUCUUCCCCAGUCAGGGAUUAAAUCCAUGUCUUCUGCAUUGCCAGGUGGGUUCUUUACCACUGAGCCACCAGGGAAGCCCUGAGGACUCGGUUUUUAUUGGACGUUAUAUUCUUCCAUCCCCAGCCCUGGCAGCC